rnacentral:rRNA from 1 species
AAAGCGUGCGCAGGCGGUUUUGUAAGUCUGUCGUGAAAGCCCCGGGCUCAACCUGGGAAUUGCGAUGGAGACUGCAAGGCUUGAAUCUGGCAGAGGGGGGUAGAAUUCCACGUGUAGCAGUGAAAUGCGUAGAGAUGUGGAGGAACACCGAUGGCGAAGGCAGCCCCCUGGGUCAAGAUUGACGCUCAUGCACGAAAGCGUGGGGAGCAAACAGGAUUAGAUACCCCGGU